GGUAAUGUAGCUGAGCGGUUAAAGCGUACGUUGGACCGUAUGCCUUCGGGGUCGCGGGUGAGUCCUGUCGUUGUCG